GUCCCUUCCAACCCAACCAUUGUAGGAUCCCAAGGUUCUGUGAUCCUAAAGAUCCCUUCCAGCCCAACCAUUGGAGGAUCCCGUGGUUCCCCAAUCAUAAAGAUCCCUUGCAAUCCAAUCAUGGGGGAUCCUGUGGUUCCCUGAUCCUAAAGAUCCCUUCCAACCCAACCAUGGAGGAUCCCGUGGUUCCCCGAUCCUGAAUGUCCCCCCAACCCAACCAUUGGAGGAUCCCACGGUUCCCUGAUCCUAAAGGUCCCUUCCAACCCAAUCAUGGGGGACCCUGUGAUUUCCUGAUCCUAAAGGUCCCCCCAACCCAACCAUUGGAGGAUCCCAUGGUUCCCCGAUCCUAAAGGUCCCUUCCAACCCAACCAUGGAGGAUCCCAUGGUUCCCUGAUCCUAAAGGUCCAUUCCAACCCAAUCAUGGGGGAUCCCAUGGUUCCCUGAUCCUAAAGGUCCCUUCCAACCCAACCACUGAGGAUCCUGUGAUUCCCCGAUCCUAAAGGUCCCCCCAACCCAACCAUUGUAGGAUCCCAUGCUUCCCUGAUCCUAAAGGUCUCUUCCAACCCAAUCAUGGGGGAUCCCGGGGUUCCCCGAUCCUAAAGAUCCCUUCCAACCCAACCAUGGAGGAUCCCAUGGUUCCCUGAUCCUAAAGGUCCCCUGUGGUUCCCUGAUCCACAAGAUCCCCCAUGGUUGGGUUGGGGGGACCUUUAGGAUCGGGGAACCACGGGAUCCUACAAUGGUUGGGUUGGAAGGGACCUUUAGGAUCACAGAACCAUGGGAUCCUACAAUGGUUGGGUUGGGAUCCUAAAGGUCCCUUCCAACCCAAUCAUGGAGGAUCCCAUGGUUCCCUGAUCCUAAAGAUCCCUUCCAACCCAAUCAUGGAGGAUCCCAUGGUUCCCUGAUCCUAAAGGUCCCCUGUGAUUCCCUGAUCCACAAGAUCCCCCAUGGUUGGGUUGGGGGGACCUUUAGGAUCGGGGAACCACGGGAUCCCCCAUGAUUGGGUUGGAAGGGAUCCUAAAGGUCCCUUCAAUCCUGCAAUGGUUGGGUUGGAAGGCAUCCUAAAGGUCCCUUCCAACCCAACCACUGUAGGAUCCCAUGGUUCCCUGAUCCUAAAGGUCCCCUGUGAUUCCCUGAUCCACAAGAUCCCCCAUGGUUGGGUUGGAAGGGACCUUUAGGAUGCCUUCCAACCCAACCAUUGUAGGAUCCCAUGGUUCCCUGAUCCUAAAGAUCCCUUCCAACCCAACCAUGGAGGAUCCCGUGGUUCCCCGAUCCUGAAGGUCCCCCCAACCCAACCAUUGGAGGAUCCCAUGCUUCCCUGAUCCUAAAGGUCUCUUCCAACCCAAUCAUGGGGGAUCCCGGGGUUCCCCGAUCCUAAAAAUCCCUUCCAACCCAACCAUGGAGGAUCCCAUGGUUCCCUGAUCCUAAAGAUCCCUUCCAACCCAAUCAUGGGGGACCCUGUGAUUCCCAAUCCUAAAGAUCCCUUCCAACCCAACCAUGGAGGAUCCCAUGGUUCCCUGAUCCUAAAGGUCCCUUCCAACCCAACCAUGGAGGAUCCCAUGGUUCCCUGAUCCUAAAGGUCCCCCCAACCCAACCACUGUAGGAUCCCAUGGUUCCCCGAUCCUAAAAGUCCCUUCCAACCCAACCAUGGAGGAUCCCAUGGUUCCCUGAUCCUGAAGGUCCCUUCCAACCCAACUAUGGAGGAUCCCAUGGUUCCCCGAUCCUAAAGGUCCCUUCCAACCCAACCAUGGAGGAUCCCGUGGUUCCCCGAUCCUGAAGGUCCCCCCAACCCAACCAUUGGAGGAUCCCAUGCUUCCCUGAUCCUAAAGGUCUCUUCCAACCCAACCAUGGAGGAUCCCACGGUUCCCCGAUCCUAAAAGUCCCUUCCAACCCAACCAUUAUAGGAUCCCAUGGUUCCCUGAUCCUAAAGAUCCCUUCCAACCCAAUCAUGCAGGAUCCUGUGGUUCCCUGAUCCUAAAGGUCCCCCCAACCCAACCAUUGUAGGAUCCCAUGGUUCUGUGAUCCUAAAGAUCUCCCCAACCCAAUCAUGGAGGAUCCCAUGGUUCUGUGAUCCUAAAGAUCUCCCCAACCCAAUCAUGGAGGAUCCCAUGGUUCCCCGAUCCUGAAGGUCCCCCCAACCCAACCUCUGCAGGAUCCCAAGGUUUCGUGACCUUCAAGGCCUCUCCCACCUCGAUCCCUGUAGGAUCCCACAGCUCUGUGACCUUCGAUGUCCCGUCUCACCCAACCACUGCAGGAUCCCAUGGUUCCCUGAUCCUAAAGAUCUCUUCCAACCCAACCACUGGAGGAUCCCACGGCUCCACGAUCCCCAAGGUCCCCCAGCCACCCACCCUGGGAUCCCGUGGCCCUUUAAGAUCCCCUCCAAACCCAACCAUUCCCCAAUGCCGUGACAACGGAGACGCGAGGCCACGACCCACCGCAACCUGGGGGCACAGAACCCCCCCCCAGGGCAGGGAUUUGGGGUCCCAC